rnacentral:rRNA from 1 species
UAAUUUUUUCUAUUAGGGAUAAGCUUAAUAGAAUUUCUUUAAAUAAAAAUUAUUUAUUUAAAUAAGGAAUAAAAUUUUCUAAGUUUUUUUGUAAAAAAUUUUUUAUUAUUCAAGUUAUGUAAGAUUUUUAUAUGAUUAAAUUAAUUUUUUUUUAAUAAAAUUAUUAAAAAAUUAGUAAAUUUAAAAAAGUAAUGAAAAAUUAAAAUAUAUUAAUAAAAUGAAAAUUUAAUUAUAGUAAUUCGGCAAAUUAAUUAAUUGACUGUUUAUCAAAAACAUUUCAUCUUGAAAAGUAAUAAGAUGUAUAAUCUGCUCAAUGAUUUUUUUAAUUGCUGUGGUAUUUUGACUAUACAAAGGUAUUGAAAUAAGAUUUUAAAUGAGUGCUAAGAGAAUGAUUAAACAAUUAAAAGCUUUCUUUAAUUAAAUAAUUAAAUUUAAUUUUUUAGUGCAAAAGCAAAAAUAAAAUUUAGGGACAAGAAGACCCUAUGAAUUUUUAUUGUUAAUAAUUAAUUUAAAUUAUUAAUAAUUUAAUUGGGGCGAUAAAAAAAGAAUAAGUAUCUUUUUAGUUAUAAAAUAAGUUCCGUUUUUAGCGAUUAAAUGAAAUAAAUACUCUAGGGAUAACAGCGUAAUAAUUUUGGAUAGUUCAUAUAGAUAAAAUAGUUUGCGACCUCGAUGUUGGAUUAGGAUUC